rnacentral:piRNA from 1 species
UGUUAACAUUGUCUAGAGGUCAUUUUAGCAC